GACGAACGCUGGCGGCGUGCCUAACACAUGCAAGUCGAGCGAAUGAAGUUCCUUCGGGGAUGGAUUUAGCGGCGGACGGGUGAGUAACACGUGGGCAACCUGCCUCAUAGAGGGGAAUAGCCUUCCGAAAGGGAGAUUAAUACCGCAUAAGAUUGUAGUACCGCAUGAUACAGCAAUUAAAGGAGCAAUCCGCUAUGAGAUGGGCCCGCGGCGCAUUAGCUAGUUGGUGAGGUAACGGCUCACCAAGGCGACGAUGCGUAGCCGACCGGAGAGGGGGAUCGGCCAAAUUGGGACUGAGACACGGCCCAGACUCCUACGGGAGGCAGCAGUGGGGAAUAUUGCACAAUGGGGGAAACCCUGACGCAGCAACGCCGCGUGAGUGAUGACGGCCUUCGGGUUGUAAAGCUCUGUCUUCAGGGACGAUAAUGACGGUACCUGAGGAGGAAGCCACGGCUAACUACGUGCCAGCAGCCGCCGUAACAC
rnacentral:rRNA from 1 species